rnacentral:rRNA from 1 species
ACAUGCAAGUCGAGCGAUCUUCUUCGGAAGAGAGCGGCGGACGGGUGAGUAACGCGUGGGUAACCUGCCUCAUACACAUGGAUAACAUACCGAAAGGUAUGCUAAUACAAGAUGAUAUAAGAGAUUCGCAUGGAUUUCUUAUCAAAGCUUUUGCGGUAUGAGAUGGACCCGCGUCUGAUUAGCUAGUUGGUAAGGUAAUGGCUUACCAAGGCUUCGACCAGUAGCCGACCUGAGAGGGUGAUCGGCCACAUUGGAACUGAGACACGGUCCAAACUCCUACGGGAGGCAGCAGUGGGGAAUAUUGCACAAUGGGCGAAAGCCUGAUGCAGCAACGCCGCGUGAGCGAUGAAGGCCUUCGGGUCGUAAAGCUCUGUCCUCAAGGAAGAUAAUGACGGUACUUGAGGAGGAAGCCCCGGCUAACUACGUGCCAGCAGCCGCGGUAAUACGUAGGGGGCUAGCGUUAUCCGGAUUUACUGGGCGUAAAGGGUGCGUAGGUGGUUUCUUAAGUCAGGAGUGAAAGGCUACGGCUCAACCGUAGUAAGCUCUUGAAACUGGGAAACUUGAGUGCAGGAGAGGAAAGUGGAAUUCCUAGUGUAGCGGUGAAAUGCGUAGAUAUUAGGAGGAACACCAGUAGCGAAGGCGGCUUACUGGACGGUUACUGACACUGAGGCAC